rnacentral:rRNA from 1 species
AGAGUUUGAUCCUGGCUCAGGACGAACGCUGGCGGCGUGCCUAAUACAUGCAAGUCGAGCGGACGGAUGGGAGCUUGCUCCCUGAAGUCAGCGGCGGACGGGUGAGUAACAUGUGGGCAACCUGCCUGUAAGACUGGGAUAACUCCGGGAAACCGGGGCUAAUACCGGAUAACUCUUUUCCUCACAUGAGGAAAAGCUGAAAGAUGGUUUCGGCUAUCACUUACAGAUGGGCCCGCGGCGCAUUAGCUAGUUGGUGAGGUAACGGCUCACCAAGGCCACGAUGCGUAGCCGACCUGAGAGGGUGAUCGGCCACACUGGGACUGAGACACGGCCCAGACUCCUACGGGAGGCAGCAGUAGGGAAUCUUCCGCAAUGGACGAAAGUCUGACGGAGCAACGCCGCGUGAGUGAUGAAGGUUUUCGGAUCGUAAAACUCUGUUGUCAGGGAAGAACAAGUACCGGAGUAACUGCCGGUACCUUGACGGUACCUGACCAGAAAGCCACGGCUAACUACGUGCCAGCAGCCGCGGUAAUACGUAGGUGGCAAGCGUUGUCCGGAAUUAUUGGGCGUAAAGUGCGCGCAGGCGGUUCCUUAAGUCUGAUGUGAAAGCCCCCGGCUCAACCGGGGGAG